CGUUGAUUACGUCCCUGCCCUUUGUACACACCGCCCGUCGCUACUACCGAUUGAAUGGCUCAGUGAGGCCUUCGGACUGGCCCAGGGAGGUCGGCAACGACCACCCAGGGCCGGAAAGUUGUCCAAACUCGGUCAUUUAGAGGAAGUAAAAGUCGUAACAAGG
rnacentral:rRNA from 1 species